rnacentral:rRNA from 1 species
AUGAAAAGGUGUUUGAUGACCACCUUUGGCCUGCUGCUUACUCAUGGAACCCAUAUAUAUUUGAAAAACAAUUGGGUUGCAAUGGACUUAGCAAAGCCAGCGGCAACUGUAUAUCUUAGGAGGUGGCACACUAGGUUGUGGUCUAGGAGUAUGUUCUCAACAAUUUCCAAGGUGGAUUACGUUACAAACAACUUGGCUGAGUGCUUCAAUAUUUGGAUUAAGCACCACAAGUCCUUGAACAUGGACGACUUCUUUGAUAAGGUUAGGCAGAUGAUUAUGAUCAUGUGGAAUCGAAGGAGAAAAGUAGCAAGGAAGUUGGUUGGGUUGAUUCUUCCCCACAUAAUUAAGAAGUCGAAUGCAAAGACUAGAGAAUUAAACUUGGAGGUGGUAGAAAUCUCGGAAGAAGUCACUAAAGUGACAGCAUUGGGAGGCAGCGGCUUUAGGUUUGUGGUCAACUUUCUUGACAUGACAUGUUCUUGUAGACAAUGGCAAGUUUCUGGCCUUCCUUCCAAACAUGGUCUAGAAUUUAUCACAUCUCUUAUCAAUGCACACAUACAAAAUUAUGUGGACUUUUAUUACUCCAUUGACAAAUUUAGAGCAGCCUAUGACCAACUAAUUCCCGCCAUGGUUGACAAGAACCAAUGGCCUAAAUCUGACCAUGGAUUCUUCAUGUUUCCACCACUACUAAAAUCCAUGGCAUAA